rnacentral:rRNA from 1 species
UACGUGGGGGCGAGCGUUGUCCGGAAUUAUUGGGCGUAAAGGGUUCGCAGGCGGUUUUUUAAGUCAGGUGUGAAAGGCAUAGGCUCAACCUGUGUAAGCACUUGAAACUGGAGGACUUGAGUUAAGGAGAGGAAAGUGGAAUUCCUAGUGUAGCGGUGAAAUGCGUAGAUAUUAGGAGGAAUACCAGUGGCGAAGGCGACUUUCUGGACUUAUACUGACGCUGAGGAACGAAAGACGUGGGGAGCAAACAGGAUUAGAUACCCUGGUAGUCCCUGAGCGGGCU